AACGCUGGCGGCAUGCCUUACACAUGCAAGUCGAACGGUAACAUGUCUUCGGAUGCUGACGAGUGGCGAACGGGUGAGUAAUACAUCGGAACGUGCCCGAGAGUGGGGGAUAACGAGGCGAAAGCUUUGCUAAUACCGCAUACGAUCUCAGGAUGAAAGCAGGGGACCGCAAGGCCUUGCGCUCACGGAGCGGCCGAUGGCAGAUUAGGUAGUUGGUGGGAUAAAAGCUUACCAAGCCGACGAUCUGUAGCUGGUCUGAGAGGACGACCAGCCACACUGGGACUGAGACACGGCCCAGACUCCUACGGGAGGCAGCAGUGGGGAAUUUUGGACAAUGGGCGCAAGCCUGAUCCAGCCAUGCCGCGUGCAGGAUGAAGGCCUUCGGGUUGUAAACUGCUUUUGUACGGAACGAAAAGACUCCUUCUAAUAAAGGGGGUCCAUGACGGUACCGUAAGAAUAAGCACCGGCUAACUACGUGCCAGCAGCCGCGGUAAUACGUANGGUGCGAGCGUUAAUCGGAAUUACUGGGCGUAAAGCGUGCGCAGGCGGUUAUAUAAGACAGAUGUGAAAUCCCCGGGCUCAACCUGGGGAACUGCAUUUUGUGACUGUAUAGCUAGAGUACGGUAGAGGGGGAUGGAAUUCCGCGUGUAGCAGUGAAAAUGCGUANAUAUGCGGAGGAACACCGAUGGGCGAAGGCAAUCCCCUUGGACCUGUACUUGACGCUUCAUGCACGAAAAGCGUGGGGGAGCAAAACAGG
rnacentral:rRNA from 1 species